rnacentral:rRNA from 1 species
CAGCACCUCAAGUGGUCAGGAUGAUUAUUGGGCCUAAAGCAUCCGUAGCCGGCGCUGUAAGUUUUCGGUUAAAUCUGUACGCUCAACGUACAGGCUGCCGGGAAUACUGCAAAGCUAGGGAGUGGGAGAGGUAGACGGUACUCGGUAGGAAGGGGUAAAAUCCUUUGAUCUAUUGAUGACCACCUGUGGCGAAGGCGGUCUACCAGAACACGUCCGACGGUGAGGGAUGAAAGCUGGGGGAGCAAACCGGAUUAGAUACCCGUGUAGUCC